CAAUUUCCCGCGCGGAGCGGAAUUUCUCUUUGUCUUUUCUAAUUAGUUCCACCCGAAAAAGCAUAUGACAAAGAAAAAUUCCGCUCGGCGCGGGAAAUUCCGCCUAGU
rnacentral:miRNA from 1 species